AUUCUUAACCGCUGCUGACAAACCAUGGGGUGAUGGAGAGACUGGAGACAACCCAGGCUAGCCCUCAUUGAACAGACAAGAAGAAGUUCCCUGAGGCUUCUGAACCUGGAAGGCAGGGUCCCCACUCACAGUGUUCGCUGCUGUGUUGUGGGGCCUUGUCUAUGCCCAAUAUGUGGCAUCUUCUAAGUAUACAUUGAAAAUUGUUGGAUGAAUGAAGAAAUGAAGGAUGACGUCCUGGAUGACCUGCUACCGUACAACGAGAUCCUGGGCAGACAAGGAAAACUGCUUUCCGGACACAGCUGGGAUUGUGAUAAAGUGAAUGAGUGUCUAAAGAGAAGCGGAAAAACAAGCUGUGAGCUGAGACGGGACAGACGGACAGAUUCUUUCCUGAGGUUGAACCGUAUGGACGUGCUCAAGGCUCUUAACUCUUACUAUCGAAUUGUCUUCUGGAAACAAUGCUGUACCAAUGUAACUCUGUGUGAGUGAGGGCCCCUCCUACCUUCUUGGACACUGACUGUUCAGCAUAAAUUUUAGCAGCAAUUUUGGUUACAGCUAUGUUGACAGCUGAGUUUAUUCCAGAUCUUUCUAAGUAAACCAGCAUAACUAUAAAGGAGUCCUUGGGCUCUAAAACUCUCAUCCUGAUCCAUGUCCUUUCCCAGAACAUGAUGAGAUGUGUCAGGCUCACGGGAUGGGGGCCUCGGUGUCCUGUGCAUUCCCAGUUCCGUGAAUCUGUGGAGUUUUGCAAUGGGCCCGUUGGGAAAGAAGAGGCGAGGCUGGGCAGCCUGUGGGAAGAGCGUCUGCAGGCGAGACGGGACCUGCGUGGAGCUCAUCUGACGUCAGGCGUUGGCCAAAUCUUGCUGAGUUGCAUAGCUGCCCUGAGGCAGACCCGAUAAGAACAUUCCAGAAAGCAGCAGACCUUCAGGGCAAGACAGGGGACUGAUAACAGGGAGCUCAUCCAACUCCAAACAGCAACACUGAGAAAGCCCAGGCAGCUCCGGCAGCUGUGUGAGCCCCUCUAAAACCAUGCACGUCCCUUUGAUGAGGCCCCGGGGGGGUGGGGGGACCUUAGGGGCAAGCUCUUGCUGAAGCAGCCGUGCAUCCCUCACAGGGUCUGCUGGGCAUGUCGAUGCUGAGUCCUUUAAGGCUUGAAGUGACUUCAGAGGGUGUGUGCGCGUGUGUGAGAGGGGGUGGGUGUGUGUGUGACCCAGAGAGAGAUGUGCGUGUGUGCGUGUGGGUGUGAGUCUGUGUGUGCGUGAGUGUGUCUGCGUCAGUGUGUAUGACUUCUGGGACACAAACCAACAUUUGGAGAAACCAGAAUCCUGUGGAUUCUGCAUAGCUGCAGAAGCCUCUCUUCGAGGGGCCUCCUUCCCGAAGAUGUCAACUACAGACUCCCCUUGGAGGGUAUUCGUGGGCACAGGAGGCGUGACCAGGGAACGUGCUGGAGGCCCUGGACCCCUCUGAGGAGCACCCAGACCCUCGGUGCUCAUAGUGAUGGUGAAUCCGUCAGUGACUGGGGGCAUCGCUGUCUAUGAAAGGCCGUCCUGGUGGCCGCUGGCUGAGUGUGUAUCCCCCUGCACGUGCCCAGAGGGGAGGGGCUCCGUGGACAUCCAUGCACUGGCUGGCUUUGCGGUCAUCUUUCUAAAUGCUGGCUCCACUUUCAGCGACGUCUUUCCAGAGGCCUCGAGUCAGGUUUCACAGGUAUCACGGGCCCGGGUUUAGCAUGGGAACCCCUGUUUGCACGCUUGAACUUGUGGGACAGUGGGCUCAGCUCUUGGGUCGGCCUGGUCCCAGUUACUGGGGUGCAGUGGGGGAGGCCCCCACAGUAGUUCCAGCCAGCGCUGUGCACAGGCCGUGGAUGGUGGUGCCCUGGUCCUCCCAACGCCAUCUCAGCUGUUGCGGACCCUUCCUGCUGCACAUGGUCUUUCCUGAUCCCUGCCCUGCGCUAGAGGUGAAACGGAGGCAAGUGGA